CAGCCGCCGCGGUAAUACGUAGGGGGCAAGCGUUAUCCGGAAUUACUGGGUGUAAAGGGAGCGUAGACGGUUAAACAAGUCUGAAGUGAAAUGCCGGGGCUCAACCCCGGAGCUGCUUUGGGAACUGUAGAACUGGAGUGUCGGAGGGGUAAGCGGAAUUCCCAGUGUAGCGGUGAAGUGCGUAGAUAUUGGGAGGAACACCGGCGGCGAAGGCGGCUUACUGGACGACAACUGACGUUGAGGCUCGAAGGCGUGGGUAGCAAACAGGAUUAGAUACCCCUGUAGUCCCUGUCUCUUAUAC
rnacentral:rRNA from 1 species